CAAAAUGUAGCUUAAUUAAAGCCCCUCGCUUACGCCGAGAGCAUAUCUGUUUAACCCAGGUCAUUUUGAG
rnacentral:tRNA from 1 species